rnacentral:rRNA from 1 species
UACGAAGGGUGCAAGCGUUACUCGGAAUUACUGGGCGUAAAGCGUGCGUAGGUGGUUCGUUAAGUCUGAUGUGAAAGCCCUGGGCUCAACCUGGGAAUGGCAUUGGAAACUGGCGACCUAGAGUGCGGUAGAGGGUAGUGGAAUUCCCGGUGUAGCGGUGAAAUGCGUAGAUAUCUGGAGGAACACCGGUGGCGAAGGCGACAUCCUGGACCGGUAUUGACGCUGAGGCGCGAAAGCCAGGGGAGCAAACGGG